CAAACGCCAUUUUGAAAACUAUAAAAACUGGAAAAGUAAAUGUCAAAUAUUUGUGAUUUUACUUUCAGUUUCAUAUGACUUUAUCAUAUGUUUACGAAACUGAAAGUUGAAUUAUCUAAGAUAAAGAAAGAAACUAAAAUAUGGCACGAGAGAAUAAACCUCGGAAAAGAGAUAAACUCGUCGAUGAAACCAAAGUUUCAACAAAAGGAAAACGUAAAAGCAAGACAAAGUUGUCCUUUAACACAGCAAGUAGUUCCUUACAAGAGUUGGUUGG